rnacentral:tRNA from 1 species
AGAGUAUAACUCCGUGGUAGAGCGUGUGCUUAACAUGCGCAAGAUCCUGGGUUCAAUCCCUAGUACCUCUG